rnacentral:rRNA from 1 species
CAGUAGCCGCGGGAAUACAGAGGGUGCGAGCGUUAAUCGGAUUUACUGGGCGUAAAGCGUGCGUAGGCGGCUUUUUAAGUCGGAUGUGAAAUCCCUGAGCUUAACUUAGGAAUUGCAUUCGAUACUGGGAAGCUAGAGUAUGGGAGAGGAUGGUAGAAUUCCAGGUGUAGCGGUGAAAUGCGUAGAGAUCUGGAGGAAUACCGAUGGCGAAGGCAGCCAUCUGGCCUAAUACUGACGCUGAGGUACGAAAGCAUGGGGAGCAAACAGGAUUAGAGACCCGGGUAGUCCCUGUCUCUUAUAC